rnacentral:rRNA from 1 species
CCUACGGGAGGCAGCAGUGAGGAAUAUUGGUCAAUGGCCGUAAGGCUGAACCAGCCAAGUCGCGUGAAGGAAGAAGGAUCUAUGGUUUGUAAACUUCUUUUAUAGGGGAAUAAAGUUAUCCACGUGUGGAUAUUUGCAUGUACCCUAUGAAUAAGCAUCGGCUAACUCCGUGCCAGCAGCCGCGGUAAUACGGAGGAUGCGAGCGUUAUCCGGAUUUAUUGGGUUUAAAGGGUGCGUAGGUUGUUUUUUAAGUCAGCGGUGAAAGUUUGUGGCUCAACCAUAAAAUUGCAGUUGAAACUGGAAGACGUGAGUGUGUGUGAGGUAGGCGGAAUGCGUGGUGUAGCGGUGAAAUGCAUAGAUAUCACGAAGAACUCCGAUUGCGAAGGCAGCUUACUAAGCCAUAACUGACACUGAAGCACGAAAGCGUGGGGAUCAAACAGGAUUAGAUACCCGGGUAGUC